UGCCAUUGUCAUAAAGCAUGGGGUUGGC
rnacentral:piRNA from 1 species